AACGAACGCUGGCGGCAGGCUUAACACAUGCAAGUCGAGCGCCCCGCAAGGGGAGCGGCAGACGAGUGAGUAACGCGUGGGAACGUACCCUUUGCUACGGAAUAGCUCCGGGAAACUGGAAUUAAUACCGUAUGUGCCCGAGAGGGGAAAGAUUUAUCGGCAAAGGAUCGGCCCGCGUUGGAUUAGGUAGUUGGUGGGGUAAUGGCCUACCAAGCCGACGAUCCAUAGCUGGUUUGAGAGGAUGAUCAGCCACACUGGGACUGAGACACGGCCCAGACUCCUACGGGAGGCAGCAGUGGGGAAUCUUAGACAAUGGGGGAAACCCUGAUCUAGCCAUGCCGCGUGAGCGAUGAAGGCCUUAGGGUUGUAAAGCUCUUUCAGUGGGGAAGAUAAUGACGGUACCCACAGAAGAAGCCCCGGCUAACUUCGUGCCAGCCGCAGCAGUAAAAC
rnacentral:rRNA from 1 species